rnacentral:rRNA from 1 species
UUGAACGCUGGCGGCAUGCCUUACACCUGCCAGUCGAACGGUAACGGGCCUUCGGGUGCCGACGAGUGGCGACCGGGUGAGUAAUACAUCGGAACGUGCCCGAUCGUGGGGGAUAACGAGGCGAAAGCUUUGCUAAUACCGCAUACGAUCUACGGAUGAAAGCAGGGGACCGCAAGGCCUUGCGCGGACGGAGCGGCCGAUGGCAGAUUAGGUAGUUGGUGGGAUAAAAGCUUACCAAGCCGACGAUCUGUAGCUGGUCUGAGAGGAUGAUCAGCCACACUGGGACUGAGACACGGCCCAGACUCCUACGGGAGGCAGCAGUGGGGAAUUUUGGACAAUGGGCGCAAGCCUGAUCCAGCCAUGCCGCGUGCAGGAUGAAGGCCUUCGGGUUGUAAACUGCUUUUGUACGGAACGAAAAGCCUUCUUUUAAUACAGGAGGGUCAUGACGGUACCGUAAGAAUAAGCACCGGCUAACUACGUG